rnacentral:rRNA from 1 species
UACGUAGGGACCAAGCGUUGUCCGGAAUCAUUGGGCGUAAAGAGUACGUAGGCGGUUUGAAAAGUCUGAUAUUAAAGACUGGGGCUUAACUCCAGGAGUGUAUCGGAAACUUUCAGACUAGAGGACAAUAGAGGAAGUCGGAAUUCUCAGUGUAGCGGUGAAAUGCGUAGAUAUUGGGAAGAACACCAGUGGCGAAAGCGGACUUCUGGGUUGUUACUGACGCUGAGGUACGAAAGCGUGGGGAGCAAACGGG